rnacentral:lncRNA from 1 species
ACCCUGGAAUUAAAGUAAAUGCACGGGUAGUCAGUAGGGAGUGAGGCCUCCCCCGUCCCUGUUAACACACAUCGAGAGGGAAUGGAGCUGGGGAAACCUUUCCCACCUAAAGCAAAACCAGUUUCUUUACCAGGUGAUAAUGUUCCCAGUCCCAGGUAAUGAAUCAUGAUUGGACCAAGCCAAGCAAGGCUGUCUCAUUCCUUUUGCCAAUGACUCAUCCAGAGGAAACAUGUGACACAGUUCUGGCCAAUGAUGAGUAAGGAGAGUCUUCCAGCAUCUCUGAGAAAGCAUUUCUUCCCUCGUAGAGAAAGAGCUGCACCUUUUGUCUCCUUUUUGAAGGGUUUUCGAGGGUCAUUUUGACCAUGCAUGAUUUUUGCUUUAUGCACCAUCUAUACAGCUAUCACUGUGUGUACCGAGUUGAAAAGUGAGUGCCUCAAAAGACUCAGACCCUCAGAAUGUGACCUUAUGUGGAAACAGGAUCUUCACAGUUAUAAUCAUGUUAGGAUAAAGUCCUCCUAGAUUAGGGUGCUUCCUAAUCCAAUGACUGGUGCUCUUCUAAGAAGACAGAAAAACAGGCUGGGUGCGGGGACUCAUACCUGUGAUCCCAGCACUGUGGGAGGCUAAGGCAGGAGGAUGGCUUGAGCCCAGGAAUUCGAGACCAUCCUGGGCAACAUAGUGAAACAUCAUCUCUACAAAAAUGUUUGAAAUUAUUAGAGUGUAAUCGUGCGUGCUUGUGGUCCUAGCUACUCAGGAGGCUGAGAUGGGAGGAUUGUUUAACCCUAGGAGGUCAAGGCUACAGUGAGCCAUGUUCAUGCCACUGCACUCCAACAGCCUGGGCAACAGAGCGAGACCCUGUCUCAACAGAAAAAAAAAAAAAAGAUUCUAAAAAAAAGAAAGAAAAAGAAGAGAGAAACAGACACAGAAAUACCUGGGAGAAUGGGAGAACAUCACAUGAAGACAGAGCAGGGAUUGGAGUGAUGUGUCUACAAGCCAAGGGAAACUGGCCUGCCAACACCUGGAUUUCUAACUUGCGGCCUCCAGAACGGUGAGGAAAUACGUUUCUGAUGUUUUACAGCACACAGGGUGCUUUGUUACAGCAGCCCUAGGAAACUAAUCCACCAUGUUAUUCCAUUAUUUAAGAAAUAGGCCGGGUGCAGUGGCUCACGCGUGUAAUCCCAGCACUUUGGGGAAUCGAGGUGGGUGGAUCACUGGAGGUCAGCAGUUCGAGACAAUCCUGACCAACAUGGUGAAACCCCAUCUCUACUAAAAAUACAAAAAUUAGCUGGGUGUGGUGAUGGGCACCUGUAGUCCCAGCUACUCAGGAGGCUGAGUCAGGAGAAUAACUUGAACCUGGGAGGCGGAGGUUGCAGUAAGCCAAGAUUGUGCCACCGCAUUCCAGCCUGGACAACAGAGCGAGACUCCAUCUAGAAAAAAAAAAGGAGAAGGAAGGAAGGAAGGAAGGAAGGAAGAAAGAAAGAAAGAAAGAAAGAAAGAAAGAAAGAAAGAAAGAAAGAAAGAAGGAAGGAAGGGAGAAGGGAGAAAGAAGAAAGAAGGAAGAAAGGAAAAGAAAAGAAAGAAAGUCAGAUUCUUUAACAACAAAGCCCAAGACUGGUCUUCAGGGAAGGAGGCAGCUUGUUAAUGAGCCAGCCUGGGGACCAGGGUGCAGAGAGACAAAGCCUCCAGAGAGGGGAAGGAGGGGGAAGCCAGAGGGAAGGACCACAGACAGGGCUUUGGAGAAAGUCCAGGAUUAAACCCUGCUGACCACAGGCUCAAUACCCCUCCUGUCCCCACAGGCCACAGCCCCCUCUCAGCUUGACUCCCCUGACAUGGGUCAUCAUGUUUCUCCACCUGCAAAUGAGUGACC